AAAAAUUAAUCUUCUUAUAUGGAAUUAAAGAAAGUUAUUUGCUUUUAAUUGGUUUUGGAACAUAAUUCUCAUUUUUGUAUUGCUAUAGAUCGCAUAUGAUUAACAUAUGGUAACAUGGUGUCACACAAGUGUUUUUAUGAACUUAUAUACCAUGUUAUAAGAGAGAUAUCUGUACUCCUACAAUUUCUGUAUUCACCUUUCUCACACUUCUGUGUAGAUGGGGCCAAUCACAGAUUUAAUCAGUCUUUUGGAAUCACUUUUUAUCCAACAGUUUAUAUAGGUAUCACAAUAGAAUUCCCAUCACAUUUCAACAUCUCAGUUGAGAUUCCAUCCAUGCCAAGACUUUUACCACAUUCCAUUCUGCCAAUCACACUCAAUCUUCAUUGACUUGUUCAUCAUGCUCAUAUUCAUUUCUUGAAUUCAUUCUGAUUUCACUUUGUCCCUCAUUCCUUUCUCCAAUAGAUUUGUAAAGCUCAUUGAAAUAUUCUCUCCAUCUACAAAUUACCUUAGAUUCAUC
rnacentral:lncRNA from 1 species